rnacentral:rRNA from 1 species
CCUACGGGUGGCAGCAGUGAGGAAUAUUGGUCAAUGGUCGGGAGACUGAACCAGCCAAGCCGCGUGAGGGAUGAAGGUACAGAGUAUCGUAAACCUCUUUUGUCAGGGAACAAAGGCGGGGACGUGUCCCCGGAUGAGUGUACCUGAAGACAAAGAAUCGGCUAACACCGUGCCAGCAGCCGCGGUAAUACGGAGGAUGCGAGCGUUAUCCGGUUUUAUUGGGUGUAAAGGGUGCGCGGGCGGUCUGUUAAGUCAGCGGUAAAAGCCCGGGGCUCAACCCCGGCCCGCCGUUGAAACUGGCAGUCUCGAGUUGGAGAGAAGUAUGCGGAAUGCGCGGUGUAGCGGUGAAAUGCAUAGAUAUCGCGCAGAACUCCGAUUGCGAAGGCAGCAUGCCGGCUCCACACUGACGCUGAGGCACGAAAGCGUGGGUAUCGAACAGGAUUAGAUACCCUAGUAGUC